rnacentral:misc_RNA from 1 species
AAGUCGUAACAAGGUUUCCGUAGGUGAACCUGCAUUAACAACUGUGAACUUUCAAUCCCAAAUCGCUUGAUCCCAGUACCUCAGCAAUCUCUGGUAAAUCAUAGUGAACAGCUUUGAUUCAGAGACCUCUGAAUAACCUUGGGCGGUCGCGGUUGGUGAGGCAAGUGACCUGGUACCCUCAAGACCAGUGUUCAAUGAUCUGUCAGUGUUCAUUGACUGGAAUCAAACGUUCUGUCAGUGUGCGUUUGAUUCGACUGGGUCAGCGAGCUUUGCUCCCACUGUUACUACUUACAAGAUUUCCCAAUUAGUGAAAGCUAUUGGGCUAUAACUAAACGACUGUUAACAAUGGAUAUCUCGAUUCUC